ACUCAACGAAAAUAAUAAGGCACAAAAAAAAAUGACUCUCCCCAGAUAGCAGAAUACAGAAACCAGCGAUUUUACUUGGAAUUCUUUUGGUGUAUAAAGGAGGAAAGAAAAUGAACUCAGUAGCCCACGUGACCCGAAGUGACCAAUAGAAUUUAUAUAACACCGCCAUCUUAGUUUCUCACGAGACAUUUACCGAAAUAGGGUCAUCAUGGCGGGAGUUAUAAUUAUUUAGCAUGUUUUGUUUUAUUAUUGAUGUUAACAAAGGAUAGUUAUUCAGGAGAAGGCAGUAUUAAGGUAAGAUAUUGUUUGUAUGUAUUAAAUACAGAUAAUUAUCUCCCAUCCGGGGUCGAUAUUAAAGAAUAAGAAGCGAAAAUGCUGAAGUUGGUGGUAACGGAGUCUGAACUGGAGAGAGAAAGAAAGAUACAAAAUUCUUACAAAAACCACGUUAGUGUGUGUGUGUGAAACAACUAAAAGUAUAAUAUUAAAACAAUAUCUUUUACAUACAUCUUAAAAAUCACUGGAUAUAUUGAUCCCAGAUUGCAAUUCAUUCAUGGAAGAAAAGAAAAACAUUUUCCAAUACUUUCGGUUUCUACCCCCGCCUCUUUUUUUCCGAAAAAAAAAAGACUUGCCGUACAUUAGGCAUCCGUAAUGCAUUCUUUUUUAAAGGUUUAUAUAUAUACACACACACAUACAAUUUCCUGAAAAUAUGUUAAUUUUCCUUAAAGUUACGAGAGAAAAAAUCGGAUCUUUUGAAUUUUCCGAAGUCCUCUCCUCACCCCCUCGGAAGACAUUUUAACUCACAAAUUUCUUUAUAAUCCUGGUGUAUUCUGUUUGAAAGGUAUUUAUAUAAAAUUUUAUGCAGGAAAAAUCCCAUUUUCCCAAAAGUUAUGAGAGAAAAUCUAGGAUCUUGUGAAUUUUCCGAAGACUUCCCCACCCAUCCGUUGCACUGUUUUUGUUUUUGAUUUCGUUCCCGAGUAAUAUUGUAAACAUAACCGAAAAGGUUUAAAAGUUUAAUAAAACAGGUCAACAAACUGAAACUGUUUUUAAUCAUCAGAGUUGCUGAUAGACUUUUCUGGGUUAAUUUAUGAUGCUGAUUACGAAUCUGAAGUUCGAAUUCCUCUAUCAGGCCACAUUUUCAUGUUAAUGAUACCUGCUGUCUUAAGUUAUAGGAUACGUAAAGCAUGUCUGCAUAAAGUAUAUUGAAUACAAGAUACGAUAAUUUCAUGACUUUUUAUUGUACAAAAUUAGGCAUUCUUUCGAUUUGACUCGACGAGACCAAAACAAAACCUCGGUUGUUUCCGUGACAAUUGCUAAAAUGGGAGGAGGAGGAGAAGAAAGCUAAUGCACACACGCACAGAGACAAGAACAAGCACGCACACACAACCCAUUAGCUUUCUUCUCCCAUUUUAGCAGCUGUCACGGUGGUCACGAAGAUAUCCGAAGUGAAUUGUCGUGUUGUCACGGAAACAACCGAGGUUUUGUUUUGGUCUCGUCGAGUCAAAUUGAAAGAAUGCCAAAAUUAUUGUGUACAAAUAAGUUAGAAUACACUCAAAUACAUAACUUAAAAUCUUUGGGAUUUGGACUUUCUAUGGUAUUUUGUCUCAGGUUCAUCUCUGUAUAACAUCCAACAGUAGUCAGCUAACAUUCCUAUGCAAUAUCUUGAUGAAAGCGUUCCCCUUGCUCAUCAGGCACUGCUCCAAGGUUCUCUGCAAAAAGUCCAGAUGUGAAUCAAGGAAAUGGACGUUUAGUCACAUCCGACAGCCCAUUGCAGCGUAGGAGUCUAGAAGGCAUUUCACUCCAUUUCUAAACUCUAGAGAUCUCUUGUUGCCUAGGAAAUUUUCACAGAGCCAUUUGAAGGAUUCCCAGGCUUUAAGCUCAAUCUCAUCCGGUGAUGUGAGGAAGUGGUUGUCCUUCAGGAGUUCUUUUAUCUGUGGACCUAUGAAUAUCCCGUCCUUCAGUUUUGCCUCGGUGUUUUAUGAAAAUUUGACCUUCACAUAUUCAUGAAACUAUUGUUUCAUGAGGCCAAGCUUUAUGUGAAGAGGGGGAAGAAGAACAUUUUCUGGGUUUAAAAGUGGCUUACUCUGGAUGCUAGAAACUCCUGGCUCUUAUGAUUUUUGCAAAAGUCACUCUGAUUGCACAUAGUGCUUGUUAGUUGCACGACUGUCCCAUAGGCAUAAAAAGCAACAAUAUUUUGUGAAACCAGAUUGCAUUCUCAUCAACAUUCCAAUCAUCUUCGAGUCUCCACAUAUUUUCCAGCUGUAGUUUGAAUACUUUAUGACAUUGAGGAGUACUUGCAUGUUUUCAUAACACUCCUUCAUGUGCACUGAAUGUCCUAUGGGAAUGGAUGGUUUCUUAUUACUAUUGUGUAGUAGUACUGCCUUGAGGCUUCUCUUAGAUGAAUCAAUGAAUAAGCACCAUUCAGUUGGAACAAACAGCGAAACAACUCGUCAGUGUUAUUACUGAAACAAAGUGGUCCAUCAACAGAGAAGCAUGAAGUCAGAUCCCUAUUUCUCUUUGUGAAAUGAGUAAUACAAACAUGUUUCUUAAGCAGACACUUCUUGUAGGCGAGAUGCUAAUAGUUCAGCUUUAUCCUUCGACAAUGACAAGUCUCUAACUAAAUCAUUUAACUCUCCUUGAGAAAAUUUCUGUGGUACGUCUUCAUUUUCAGUCGUGAAAUCUGCAUCCACUUCGGUGUCUUCCACAGCAGUAAUAUUUUCUUCAGGAAAUACAUCUCCGUCAGACAUCUGAAGGCCAUUUUCUGGUGGUAUUGGAAUAGGAAGAUCAUCAUCAUUGUGUGGUACUGGUCUUUUUGCUGAUUCCAAGUUGGGAUACACAAUCUUAUGCUUGGUCUUUACAGUAAACCCACAUACAUUAAUGUUGCAGAAAUAACAGUCCAUGAAAUGAUCCUUUCGCUCUCUCCAUAUCAUAGGUAUUGCAAACAGCAUUGCUCUCUUCCUCUUAUUUAGCCAAUCCCGUAGUCCACUCGAACAAGCUGAGCAGAUGCUGUGCAGGGCCCAACUCUUAUCUUGAUCCCCGAGAGAGCAGCCAAAGUAUAACUGGUAGAUCUUGAUUUCACUUGUGAUGGCAUGUUGCUGAGCUUUGGUGGUAAAUGAACCACAGAUAUGAAAAUAUACCAGGACUGUUCUUGCAAUGCCUUGACAUCCUGAGUAGAAUUUGAUGAUGAUGAUGACUUGGCACCUUAAACAGAAAGUAAAAUUUAUG
rnacentral:lncRNA from 1 species